rnacentral:rRNA from 1 species
GACAGAGGUGGCAAGCGUUGUUCGGAUUUAUUGGGUGUAAAGGGCAGGUAGGCGGUCGCGCAAGUCUGACGUGAAAUCCCAUGGCUCAACCGUGGAACUGCGUUGGAAACUGCAUGACUUGAGUAUCGGAGAGGUGAAGGGAAUUCUCGGUGUAAGGGUGAAAUCUGUAGAUAUCGAGAGGAACACCAGUGGCGAAGGCGCUUCACUGGCCGAUUACUGACGCUGAGGCGCGAAAGCUAGGGGAGCAAACAGG